rfam:Hordeum vulgare subsp. vulgare, WGS project CAJW01000000 data, contig: morex_contig_49690
UACGUACUCCCCCGUCCCGAAAUACUUGUCAUAGGAAUGUAUAGAAAUAGAUAUAUCUAGAACUAAAAUACAUCUAGAUAUAUCCAUUUCUACGACAAGUAAUUCCGUAUGGAGGGAGUACCAU